UUAUGGCGGAUAGGAACCAGGUCAUGUUUGUACGUGAUUUGGGCCGACAUCCCCGCCGAAAUAGUCCUGCGAAGAUCUAAGGUCGCUUCUGGAUGGAUUUGCCACCGGGUGCACACCAUCUUCGUGCACAAUU
ensembl:snoRNA C10C6.8 ncRNA